rnacentral:rRNA from 1 species
CCUACGGGAGGCAGCAGUGAGGAAUAUUGGUCAAUGGACGAAAGUCUGAACCAGCCAAGUAGCGUGAAGGAUGACUGCCCUAUGGGUUGUAAACUUCUUUUAUAUGGGAAUAAAAUGUUCCACGUGUGGGAUUUUGUAUGUACCAUAUGAGUAAGGGUCGGCUAACUCCGUGCCAGCAGCCGCGGUAAUACGGAGGAUCCGAGCGUUUUCCGGAUUUAUUGGGUUUAAAGGGAGCGUAGGUGGAUUGUUAAGUCAGUUGUGAAAGUUUGCGGCUCAACCGUAAAAUUGCAGUUGAAACUGGAAGUCUUGAGUACAGUAGAGGUGGGCGGAAUUCGUGGUGUAGCGGUGAAAUGCUUAGAUAUCACGAAGAACUCCGAUUGCGAAGGCAGCUCACUGGACUGCAACUGACACUGAGGCUCGAAAGUGUGGGUAUCAAACAGGAUUAGAUACCCGUGUAGUC